rnacentral:rRNA from 1 species
GGACUACACGGGUAUCUAAUCCUGUUUGCUCCCCUAGCUUUCGCGCCUUAGCGUCAGUAAAGGCCCAGUCACCUGCCUUCGCCAUUGGUGUUCCUCCAGAUAUCUACGCAUUUCACCGCUACACCUGGAAUUCCAGUGACCCCUGCCCCACUCCAGACGCCCAGUAUCCGUUGACCCCUCCCAGUUGAGCCGGGAGAUUUCACAACAGACUUAAGCACCCGCCUACGCGCGCUUUACGCCUAGUGAUUCCGAGUAACGCUCGCCACCUACGUCUUACCGCGGCUGCUGGCAC